GACGAACGCUGGCGGCGUGCUUAACACAUGCAAGUCGAACGAUGAAGCCGGAGCUUGCUCUGGUGAAUUAGUGGCGAACGGGUGAGUAACACGUGAGUAACCUGCCCUUGACUCUGGGAUAACUGCGGGAAACUGUAGCUAAUACCGGAUACGACCCUCGGAGGCAUCUCCUGGGGGUGGAAAGAAUUUCGGUCAAGGAUGGACUCGCGGCCUAUCAGCUAGUUGGUGAGGUAAAGGCUCACCAAGGCGACGACGGGUAGCCGGCCUGAGAGGGUGACCGGCCACCCUGGGAAUGAGACACGGCCCAGACUCCUACGGGAGGCAGCAGUGGGGAAUAUUGCACAAUGGGCGCAAGCCUGAUGCAGCAACGCCGCGUGAGGGAUGACGGCCUUCGGGUUGUAAACCUCUUUUAGCAGGGAAGAAGCGAAAGUGACGGUACCUGCAGAAAAAGCACCGGCUAACUACGUGCCAGCAGCCGCCGUAA
rnacentral:rRNA from 1 species